CUACGUGCCAGCAGCCGCGGUAAUACGUAUGUCGCAAGCGUUAUCCGGAAUUAUUGGGCAUAAAGGGCAUCUAGGCGGCCAGAUAAGUCUGGGGUGAAAACUUGCGGCUCAACCGCAAGCCUGCCCUGGAAACUGUUUGGCUAGAGUGCUGGAGAGGUGGACGGAACUGCACGAGUAGAGGUGAAAUUCGUAGAUAUGUGCAGGAAUGCCGAUGAUGAAGAUAGUUCACUGGACGGUAACUGACGCUGAAGUGCGAAAGCUGGGGGAGCGAACAGGAUUAGAUACCCUGGUAGUCCCAGCCGUAAACAAUGAUUACUGGGUGUGGGCAUGAAGAGUGUCCGUGCCGAAGCUAAUGCGAUAAGUAAUCCGCCUGGGGAGUACGGCCGCAAGGCUGAAACUCAAAGGAAUUGACGGGGACCCGCACAAGCGGUGGAGCAUGUGGUUUAAUUCGACGCAACGCGAGGAACCUUACCAGAUCUUGACAUCCC
rnacentral:rRNA from 1 species